ensembl:rRNA 5S_rRNA 5S ribosomal RNA
GCUUCCGGCCACACCUCCCUGAGCACGCCCAAUCUCGGAAGCUAAGCAGGGUCGGGCCCGGUUAGUACUUGGAUGGGAGACCGCCUGGGAAUACCAGGUGCUGUAAGCC